AUGUCGGGGAGCGAGGCUGAGGCUGUGGGGUUGGGGCAGGCUGAACCUCCUCUUGCCUAUCUCUGGUUGAGGCCUCUUCUGUCCUUCCUUUCCCAGUGUGCCCCCCCGUCUGCCCCUGCUCCCCCUGUGGGGGUGCAGUGUGGGGAGGUUGUUGACAAUUUGUGCAUUAAUCUCUCUGCCUGGGGCCUCCUGGUCAGGUGGUGCUUAUCAGGGUUCCGCUCCUGUCAGAUGGGCCUUCCGGAGCCCGUGGGCGAGGGGGGGCGGCAGGAGCCCCUGCUGCAGGGCCUGGAGGCUGCCUCACCAUCCUUGGGCCUUCACAUCCCCUCGCCCCCCUGCGGGCUGCCUUCUUUACCACAUCAGGAUACAGAACAUUGCAUGAAUUCCGGUCUCAAUGGAAUUAUUUCAGAAUUCUGGUCAACCGCAAGCUUGGGGUAUUUCACAAACUAUCUAUCACUGCUGUGUGGUGGGCAGAGCCCGAGCUGGGGGCAAGUAACGGAUGCUGGGAGGCCCCUGUCCACCGCCUGCGGGGGUCGUGAGUCCCCGCCCUUCUUGCGGCCCCGCCCAGCAGCACCCAGGGCUCUGCAGGAUCUGACCGUUGAAAGUGCCAGCGAUGGCACAUCCACUGGGUCUUAUUGUGAGGAAUCAGCUGAUGAGGGCCCAGGACGAGCUUUCGCAGGAGCUCAAGAAGGACUCCUAGUGACAGCCUGGGGACUGUGCUGCCUCCGCACUCGGGUCCGGCUGGCUCCAGGGUCCACCCAUCCUGGCAAAGGAAGGUCCAAGUGGAUCCGCCUACAGGAUGUCCCAGCAAUGUCACCGCAGCUUCAAGACAACAGCCUCACAAGGACUCCGCUUCCCAGAAGGCCUCCCUACCUGUGGCCCGGCUGCCUCCAAGUGUUCCUUAACUCCCUCCCCAGCCCUCUCCUUCCUCACACUUAGCUUUUCUGCAGUGAUUUCCUCAGGGGGCCCCGACCAUCCCCACACACAACUCCCCUCUAUGCUUCCCCCACAUGUACGUCUCCCUGUGAAGGAGGAAUCUCCUGCAGGCCCUGCCAGCUGCAGGCCUUCCUGCUCCAUCCCUCCCUGUGAGGUCUAGUUCUUUCUUUGCAGCCCCUUCCUCUCCCCUCAGGGAUGUGGGGCAUGAGGAGGCUGGUAUUCCCACCAAUAUUGCACGUGGGUGGACCUCAGACUGGGACCUUCAACAUUCUCUCUAAAGAGGUCAAACCCCAAGAAAAGGAAAAAACAAGCCAAGGACUGAGAGAAAAUCUUUGCAGAAGACAUCUAAUAAAGGACUAUUGUCCAGAAUAUACA
rnacentral:lncRNA from 1 species